GACGAACGCUGGCGGCGUGCUUAACACAUGCAAGUCGAACGGAAAGGCUCUGCUUUUGUGGGGUGCUCGAGUGGCGAACGGGUGAGUAACACGUGAGUAACCUGCCCUUGACUUUGGGAUGACUUCAGGAAACUGGGGCUAAUACCGGAUAGGAGCUCCUGCUGCAUGGUGGGGGUUGGAAAGUUUCGGCGGUUGGGGAUGGACUCGCGGCUUAUCAGCUUGUUGGUGGGGUAGUGGCUUACCAAGGCUGUGACGGGUAGCCGGCCUGAGAGGGUGACCGGCCACAUUACGACUGAGAUACGGCACAGACUCCUACGGGAGGCAGCAGUGGGGAAUCUUGCACAAUGGGCGGAAGCCUGAUGCAGCAACGCCGCGUGCGGGAUGACGGCCUUCGGGUUGUGAACCGCUUUCGCCUGUGACGAAGCGUGAGUGACGGUAAUGGGUAAAGAAGCACCGGCUAACUACGUG
rnacentral:rRNA from 1 species